GCCUGGCUGGCUCAGUCCCCAGAGCAGACGGCUCUAAAUCUCAGGGUUGUGAGUUCAAGUCCCACGCCGGGUG
rnacentral:tRNA from 1 species